UAGGGAAUCUUCCGCAAUGGGCGAAGGCCUGACGGAGCAACGCCGCGUGGGUGAUGAAGGUCUUCGGAUCGUAAAACUCUGUUAUUAGGGAAGAACAUAUGUGUAAGUAACUGUGCACAUCUUGACGGUACCUAAUCAGAAAGCCACGGCUAACUACGUGCCAGCAGCCGCGGUAAUACGUAGGUGGCAAGCGUUAUCCGGAAUUAUUGGGCGUAAAGCGCGCGUAGGCGGUUUUUUAAGUCUGAUGUGAAAGCCCACGGCUCAACCGUGGAGGGUCAUUGGAAACUGGAAAACUUGAGUGCAGAAGAGGAAAGUGGAAUUCCAUGUGUAGCGGUGAAAUGCGCAGAGAUAUGGAGGAACACCAGUGGCGAAGGCGACUUUCUGGUCUGUAACUGACGCUGAUGUGCGAAAGCGUGGGGAUCAAACAGGAUUAGAUACCCUGGUAGUCCACGCCGUNNCGAUGAGUGCUAAGUGUUAGGGGGUUUCCGCCCCUUAGUGCUGCAGCUAACGCAUUAAGCACUCCGCCUGGGGAGUACGACCGCAAGGNU
rnacentral:rRNA from 1 species